rnacentral:rRNA from 1 species
GAUGAACGCUGGCGGCGUGCUUAACACAUGCAAGUCGAACGGUGAACACGGAGCUUGCUCUGUGGGAUCAGUGGCGAACGGGUGAGUAACACGUGAGCAACCUGCCCCUGACUCUGGGAUAAGCGCUGGAAACGGCGUCUAAUACUGGAUAUGUGACGUGACCGCAUGGUCUGCGUUUAGAAAGAUUUUUCGGUUGGGGAUGGGCUCGCGGCCUAUCAGCUUGUUGGUGAGGUAAUGGCUCACCAAGGCGUCGACGGGUAGCCGGCCUGAGAGGGUGACCGGCCACACUGGGACUGAGACACGGCCCAGACUCCUACGGGAGGCAGCAGUGGGGAAUAUUGCACAAUGGGCGCAAGCCUGAUGCAGCAACGCCGCGUGAGGGAUGACGGCCUUCGGGUUGUAAACCUCUUUUAGCAGGGAAGAAGCGAAAGUGACGGUACCUGCAGAAAAAGCGCCGGCUAACUACGUG